UGCAGGAUGGCCGAGUGGUUAUGGUAUCGGACUCAAGAUCUGAUUCGCGUUUACGAUCGCGGGCUCGAAUCCGCUUCUGCAC